rnacentral:rRNA from 1 species
AUUGAACGCUGGCGGAAUGCUUUACACAUGCAAGUCGAGCGGCAGCGCGGGGCAACCUGGCGGCGAGCGGCGAACGGGUGAGUAACAUAUCGGAACGUACCCAGUCGUGGGGGAUAACUAUCCGAAAGGAUAGCUAAUACCGCAUACGACCUGAGGGUGAAAGCGGGGGACCGAAAGGCCUCGCGCGAUUGGAGCGGCCGAUAUCGGAUUAGCUAGUUGGUGAGGUAAAGGCUCACCAAGGCGACGAUCCGUAGCUGGUCUGAGAGGACGACCAGCCACACUGGAACUGAGACACGGUCCAGACUCCUACGGGAGGCAGCAGUGGGGAAUUUUGGACAAUGGGGGCAACCCUGAUCCAGCCAUUCCGCGUGAGUGAAGAAGGCC